ACUUCUCCUUAAUGCUAAAUGGCAGAGUGACGAAUGUGUCUAGUUCAACUAGAUCAGAUGGGUGAAAUUGGGGGCAUAUCAUCUGCUGAUGGCGCCCCCAUAAAUCGCCAAAAAAAAAAUAUAUUGUUUAGAUGGCAAAGAGGAAGAUCGAUAAAUGACUAAGUGUCAGUGGAGAUUAACUGUAACUGCACAUACAUCAUAUGAUGGUUCCUGAUGUUCAUGAUAACUCCUGUAAGAAAAGUCAACACAUUUUCAAAUGAUACAACAACAUUAACUUCAACAGGAACCUUCUUGUGACUCCAUCCAAAACAUUUGCAUUUCAAUCAAACAUUACACUUUCCAACCUCGCACAUGCAACUGAGACUAAGGUAAGCAUGACUUUCAAACAUUCUUCCAGUGUAUAUUGACUAAUUUGGAACUAAAAAUAAAUUUCUAUAGGUAAAUUACUUUGAAAAAAGCAAUGGACUUUCACCAAAAUCUUGUCAUGAAGGAGGUAAGAACUUGUUUACAAAUGAAGAUUUCACUACAAGAGAAGAACUGAUGAGCACAAUUUCUAUUGUUUAAAAGCUAUAAACUGUCAUUGAAAAUAAAUGUUAGUGCUUUUUAUUUUUUCUAGAUCUUGCAGUGAUCAAAAUAGCCAUAAUUUCUGUAUGAUUGCCUUACAAUUUUAAGAUUAUAAAACAAAAUUGUGACUGAGGACUAAGUGAUUGGAUAUGCUGACUGACAAAGAUCAGGAAGAUGUGUUCAGAUCAAGGAUUUAGAAUUUUCACAACAGGGAUAUCCAUUGUACUUGGUGACAUUUGGAAAACAAAAAUAUGGAUUAACCUUGGGAACCAGGACCAUACAGAAAGACCUGCAACAAGUUGUACUCUAGCAGGGGGUAAGUUAAAUGUGGCACCUUGUAACAGGUGAACACAAAGGUCAGUGGCAAAAUCCAUUCACAUAUCCUAAGUAACCUUUGUAGAAUCUUCCUUCAACUGAAACAGUGUGAAUUCACUUUAUAAUAUUUUGAAAAUAGCUUUACCUUUGGUUAGAUUUAAUACAGAUUUAGAUUGCUAGUUCUUUAAGUGUGAAAAACAUAAAACUGUCAACUUUUUCUGUUUUCCAGCAAAAUUCCAUUAAUACUUAAAUUAUAUUGUUUCUAUUAUUGCACAGUUGUAGUGUAAUGACUGAAAUAGCCAAGAAUUUGCCAUUUCCUAGCUAGAAUAGAAUAUCUUUAUUUGUGUAUUUUUUUUUCUAAAUUUCCAAACAUAUGCUACAUAGCUAAAAGCUACAUACUGCAAAUUUUUACUUCAAGUCUUAAGCUAAAGGGUAUGUGUUUUUGUAUAGAUUUCUUGGAAUGUAGUCAGUUCAUUCAAACAGUAUGAAACCUGUAUAAUUGGCUUAGCUUAAGACUGUCUGUAAACUGCUGGUUGAAUUUUGUAACAUGUUAACCUGUGAGAUACUUUCUUUGUUUUGCCAAGAUAAUUAAGUUGGGAAUUUCCAUAGUUCUGACUCUUGGUUUUGCUUAAACCCCAGCAGCCAGGUGAUGCAGAAGAAGAACCCAGGCCAGUUUUAAUGAUAUAACACUAUUUGUUAAUAAUUUUGAUGUUGAAAACUACUUUUGUGUUUGCUCAUAUUCCCCAACUGUUUGUGUUCCUGAACCUGCAUUUUGUGUUGUCUUUUCUGCUGGAUAUCAGUUGACCUAAAUACCACAGUGAUUCAAACAACCUUUCACUGUGCCUGAGGCCCAGUAAUUACAAAAUUAUUGAUAUAGAAAGAAAAGGUGUCUAUAUAUCUAUCAGAUUUAGGAUGGCUUCCAAUAACAAAACACUGAUUAAUUGAUUACAUACAGUCCUUUUUUAUUUCUGAACAAAUUUAUUUGGUCAACACUAAAUAUUUAACACAACAUUUUUUUUGUGUCAGUUUUCUUUCUGCAUUUUAUGGAAAUAGGUAUCUUAAUAAAAAAAAAAUUUAUAUGAAAGAGGUGUUUUAGUAAAAGUCUUUACUUUGUUAUAAGAUGUAACUUUAACUAGAAUUUAAGUUUUGAAGUGUGAAUAUAUUAUCUAAAAUAUUAAAAUGAUCUGCAUAUUAUUUUGUGGCAGCUUGUAAGAAAUUGUGAUUAUUAAUAGAAAAACUUUCUAUAUCAUAAAUCUAUCGCGUAAAUAUUUUCUCAUUGGGAUAUGUGAUCUCUACUGAAUCACUUAGCUUUUUGUGUUCCAUUAAAUCAUGAUUAACAUUAGUGAAAUAAAACUUUUUUUCAUUCCGUUUAUUUUAUAAUAUGCAAAUUAAAUUAUUUGCAAACAGUGUUAUAUAUAUAAUAUAAUACUUGUACACAAGAUGGCCAAGGAAUAGUUACUGCUACUGAAUGUCAAAUGCAAGCUGUUAUGCUAUCAUAUAUACUUUAUAAUUUUAUUUAAUCUAUUUUCCUAUUACUCCAGAUUAAGUCAACUAACUCUAAGAAACAUUAUGGAAACACUCUUUUCUCAGCCUUUUAUUGUUAUUUCCACAAUUCAAAGUUUUUAGUACAUAAGAUAUUUUUGGUUAUAUUUCAGUUUCACUUUAAUUUAGAUUUUGUUUUUACAAUGGAAUGGAGAAAGCUUAAUGAGGCUGUAGAAAUUACAUCAUUAACAUUAUUCAUUACAGAGUAGAAUUUUCUACUCUGAUACUCAAAAUUUGGUUUAUUAAUAUACUUAAGUUUUUAAAGUAUGGUUGUGAUGUUUGAAUUAACAUUCUGCUACAAUAUACAUUUAC